rnacentral:lncRNA from 1 species
CCAGCAGAGGGCGAUGGAGACCAUCCCUGGCUGGAUCACCUCCACCCCGGAGGCCCUUCACUGCCUUCACCACCCAGACAGAAGGUUCCCUCGUGAUCGGGGCGGUUUCCUUGGCACCAGCUGGCACCAGUGUAGGAGUCUCAUGAAAUGAGGGACGUUGCCUGCCCGAGUCUCUGGGACCAGCGCCUGGCAUGAGGUAGGAACGAUAUCCUGUAAUCCUCGUUCGUAUUAAUACAGCGUAUUAAUCACACAGCGCGUCUCUAAGCACCUGAGCCAAACAAGUGUUUGAAUUCAUCCAUGGAAGUGAACACAGGCCCACCAGCCAGGGAUGGGCCUCAGAGGGCAGUGAGACCACUCUGCCCUGAAAUCACGCCAGGACGCGCACAUUCUAAACGCCGUGGUCGGCACUGC